GAGACACCCCUAUGGAGCAAGACUUGCUUCAGUGAAACUUUGGUGUUCACUGAAUCUGCCCCUUGUGUGUGUCACU
rfam:Myotis davidii contig6230, whole genome shotgun sequence.